CCUACGGGGGGCAGCAGUGAGGAAUAUUGGUCAAUGGACGAGAGUCUGAACCAGCCAAGUAGCGUGAAGGAUGACUGCCCUAUGGGUUGUAAACUUCUUUUAUAUGGGAAUAAAAUGUUCCACGUGUGGGAUUUUGUAUGUACCAUAUGAAUAAGGAUCGGCUAACUUCGUGCCAGCAGCCGCGGUAAUACGGAGGAUCCGAGCGUUAUCCGGAUUUAUUGGGUUUAAAGGGAGCGUAGGUGGAUUGUUAAGUCAGUUGUGAAAGUUUGCGGCUCAACCGUAAAAUUGCAGUUGAAACUGGCAGUCUUGAGUACAGUAGAGGUGGGCGGAAUUCGUGGUGUAGCGGUGAAAUGCUUAGAUAUCACGAAGAACUCCGAUUGCGAAGGCAGUUCACUGGACUGCAACUGACACUGAGGCUCGAAAGUGUGGGUAUCAAACAGGAUUAGAUACCCUUGUAGUC
rnacentral:rRNA from 1 species